GCAGAAAAUAAAAAGAAAGAAGAGAAAGAGGAGGUGGCCGAAUAAGGGAAGAAAAAGGAGGAAGGAGUACCACCAUUUUUCAACUUAAAAUUUCACUCCAAAUCAAGAUAAAGGAAAGGAAAAAUUACAGGCAAGUAGGAGCAGUGCCUGUUGUCACCAAGAUCAGGAGCUAACUUGACGUAGGUGACUUGGUUCCUUGAUUUUGUGUAUAUAUGAUGUUAUCCAUUUGUAACAGGAUAUUUUGUUUUAAUAUCUGAGCAUAACAAGAUAAAAUUUUAUUGUCUGUAUAUAAAUAUAACUUUAUGAAAUAAUUUAUUAGUUAAUUGAUUAAAGAAAACUAAUAUGCGAUUCUGAUA